rnacentral:rRNA from 1 species
CCUACGGGUGGCAGCAGUGAGGAAUAUUGGUCAAUGGACGAGAGUCUGAACCAGCCAAGUAGCGUGAAGGAUGACUGCCCUAUGGGUUGUAAACUUCUUUUGUCUGGGAGUAAAAUGUUCCACGUGUGGGCUUUUGUAUGUACCCUGUGGAUAAGGAUCGGCUAACUCCGUGUCAGCAGCCGCGGUAAUACGGGGGAUCCGAGCGUUAUCCGGAUUUUUUGGGUUUAAAGGGGGCGUAGGUGGAUUGUUAAGUCCGUUGGGAAAGUUUGCGGGUCAAACGUAAAAGUGCAGUUGAAACUGGCAGUCUUGAGUACAGUAGAGGUGGGCGGAAUGCGUGGUGUAGCGGUGAAAUGCUUAGAUAUCACGAAGAACUCCGAUUGCGAAGGCAGCACACCGGACUGCAACUGACACUGAGGCGCGAAAGUGUGGGUAUCAAACAGGAUUAGAUACCCUAGUAGUC